rnacentral:miRNA from 1 species
GGUUUCCUUCCGGUCAACGAGGUACAUGUACCUCAUCAACCGGAAGGAAACCCCUCCGAUUGAUGAGGUACAUCUACCUCAUCAACCGGAAGGAAACC